GCUAACCUCAGGAUAAAACAGGCACUCUGUAACUAUAGCUGACACCGAACAAUAACUUCAUGGAAUGUAUGCAAAACAUUGGUAACUGAAAAUAAAAAAUACACAACAAUAUACUAAAAUAACCACAUAGCCUGCCUACCGCCAUCCCACUCUCCCCUAGUCUUGCAUCUUUUAAGAAGUGCCUUAAAACCCAUCUCUUUAGGAAAGCUUAUGGCCUCCAAGACUAACCCCUACCUCACAUACCCGUCUCUUGCCCUCUCCUAAAGGGCAGCCCACCUUAUUUGAUUGCAAAUUCCUGUCCUAAUGUGUUUUACACCCCACCUCCUAUAGAAUGUAAGCUCGAUUGAGCAGGGUCC